GGAGUGGUGAAGAAGACACUUGACUGACCAGACUGGUCAACCUUGGAGCCAAUGGUCAAGUAGUCAGAUCACCCCUACCGUGAAGUUCAAGCAGCCUGAAUUUCCCUCCCAGGCUGGGACUGGCUGGAGCAGUGAAACGGGCUGUGGGAUGAGGACUCCAGAGAGAGCACCCAGGAAGAGAGCCUGAAGUUAUCAUUCACCCAUCAGAGGGAUCAGGCUGAUGGGUGAAAUUUGAGUGUGAAGCAAAGAGACUAUGAGCAGAGUUAACAAGAGGGAGUAAGUCAGUUUAGUAGAGAGGGAGGGACACAUCCUGAAAAGAUUCCUUGAGGGUCUGGAAAAGAGAAGCAGAACCUGACUGCAGCCUGCAAGGCUCUUCUGUCCAUGGGAUUCUCCAAGCAAGAACAUUGGAGUAGGUUACCAUGCCCUCCUCCAGGGGAUCUUCCUGACCCAGGGGUCGAACCUGCAUCUCUAAAGUCUCCUGCGUUGCUGCUUGUGCUGUUCUUCAGAGGCUGCUGCUGCUGCUGCUAAGUCACUUCAGUCGUGUCCGAUUCUGUGCAACCCCAUAGACAGCAGCCAACCAGGCUCCCCCGUCCCUGGGAUUCUCCAGGAUUCCCUGAUACCUCAGCUGGUAAAGAAUGCACCCGCCAUGCGGGAGACCCUGGUUGGAUCUCUGGGUUGGGAAGAUCCCCCAGAGAAGGGAAUGGCUACCCACUGCAGGAUUGGCCUGGAGAAUCCCAUGGACUCUAAAAGUCCACGGGGUCACAGAGAGUCAGACACAAGAUCCACUCAAGGUUGACUUUUGGCCCCUAUGUGACUUUGGCUGGUUUCCUGACCUGGAUCCUGUGCCUCAGUUCCCACCUCUGGCAGAUACACCCUUAGCCAGGAGAUCCUUGUCCACCCAUGGAGUUGUUAUGCUGGUCACUAUUCCAUCACAAAACGUGACUCUUCAUCACCAAUCCUAUUGUCAAUUGGAAAAAUCAAGGUUGGGGUUCAGUUCAGUUCAGUUGCUCAGUCGUGUCUGACUCUUUUCGACCCCAUGAAUCGAAGCACA
ensembl:lncRNA